rnacentral:misc_RNA from 1 species
GAGGAAACAAAUUCUUUAUACUAAAGAUAAUGAAGAUCUGAGGACAAUAGAACUGUUCUUCAAUAAUUCAUCCUCCUAAAAACAAUCAAAUAUUUCAAAAAUAAGAUAUUAGAAUCCAACUACUAAGGAUUUCCCUGCAGAAACACUUGAAAUAUUGAUCUAUUGUUAAGAAUUUCCCUUCAGAAUGACCUGAAAUAUUAGUCUAUUGCACGACUAAUAAUAUCUAUUGACUUCUGUAUAUGAUUAUUUUGGGGGUAAAAACAUGUCUAAACAAAAUUACAAGAAUGAAGCAAAAAGAAUCCUUAGGAUGCUGAUACUUAUGACCAGGGCAUCAUAGAGGGGCAGGCAAUCUCAGCAAAUAAAUCAAUGUCUUCUCAGUCAUAACCAUAGCCUUCAUCGUCGUCACCAACCUCCACCUCAGAAAAGUCAUAUCCACCCAUGACAGAGAGAAAGAGUAAAAUAGCUACCACCUGUGUUGCCAAGAAAUAUUUUGCCCUUCUUUUGAAAGUUUUCUCCUCUUCUGUCUUUUCCCUCUUGGGUUUUCUCUUAGGCUUUGAACCUAAUGAUAAACAAUAUGUCAUAAUCCUUCAAAAUUGAAUGUGAAGAAAGGAGUUUUGACCAGUUUACUUAUAGCCAUUAUAUCAAAAUGAAAUUUUAUUUGAAGGUAUCUUAAACAAAGAAUCACUAUUUGAUAACUGAAAGAUAAAUCCAUGGGCCAGUUUCGUUAAUCCAUCAACUCCUCAAAUACUACUGACAAACAUUAAAAAAGGAAAAAUGCAAGUCCAGAGGUUGAAAAUUAUCUUACUAGAAUUUGAAGGACAACAUUAAAAAGGAAAAUGCAAGUCCAGAAGUUGAAAAAUAUCUCACUAGAAUUUGAAGGACUUCUUCUUGGAGUUGACGAUGAAGAAUCAGAGGGGAACCAUGGGACAGCAGAACAUGAUGAACCAGCAUCCAAGAAAUCAGUCUUAUGUUUCUCAGCAUAUCUUAUGAGAUUACCAUGCUCUAAAAGUGAACUUUGAAGAACCGAUGCUUCAGGUAAUGCUUGAAGAGUGAAAAGAAGAUGCCCAAGGAAUAAUGCAUCCAAACUUGAUGGCCUGUCCUCAAAGAGAAACUCCUGUUCACCCAAUCUGGUUGACAAAGCUCCAUAUGCAAUUUUCACUCUCUUGUAAAUCUCUUCUUCCCUUCGUUCUGCAUUUUCUUUUGUUAUCCCAAGUUGCUGCUUAACAGUAUAUGCUUGCUUGACAAAUAAGACCUUUCCUAUUAACCAAGGAAGGUCAGAAUAAUAAAUCUUGAAAGCAGAACUUCCAUCAGAUCCCAACCAGAGCUCAUACAUGACUGCAUCUACAAGCCAGGAGCUAAUCAUUGCUUUCAUUGAUAUCCAUUCUGGGAUUGAGCAGAAUUCAGUGUCCAAAUUAACAAUACCAUCUUCCUUUAAACGUUGAAUAACUCCACCACUCUCAUUAUUAUAGGCCACAUAUGCACCAGAUUCAACGUAAGGAAUUUGAUCUGAAUCUGGAUAAGUGGAAUUGAAAUCCAGGCGAAAGGGAAGCCUAGCUAACUUGAGAUAGAUGUAGACAGGCAAGCAAAUUGGGCAAGCAGUUGGGAGUCCAAAACAGGGUUUUCUAGCGACAAGAGUACACUCUUCUCUUUCAUGAGAUUCUUCCAUUUGCUAUCCCUCUUGAUUUUCUUUUCUUUUUUCCUUUGAAAAAGGAAAAACUUUAAAUCUACGGCAAGAGCUGUGGUUGUUGAUUCUUGGCGGUUCUUUGAGAGAGAAUGAUGGGUAGCGACGGUCACAGAGAACAAAAUAGUGAGCAGUUAGAGAGAGCCGUGAGGGGAGAGAAGACGAACUAGAAAACGAUCGCCCUGGUAGUCCGGCAGUUCAACGCCGUCAACAGUAGCUCGGGAGGGGAAUAGAGAGCGUACACUGAUAGAGGAGAGAAUGGGUUUUGUCUCAGCUUAAACCUUGUUUACGAUCGGUUUCGGUCGGGUUAUUUCGAUGGGUGGCGGCUCGGUAUUUUCGGUAUC